rnacentral:miRNA from 1 species
GACGUCGAAUAUCGACGUCAUCAACACCAAAGUUGACCGUGUUUAUGACGUCGUAUAUCGACGUCAUAAACACCAAAGUUGAUCGUGUUUAUGACGUCGUAUAUCGACGUCAUAAACACCAAAGUUGACCAAAGUUGACCGUGACAAAGAUGACCAAAGUUGACCGUGUUUAUGACGUCGUAUAUCGACGUCAUAAACACCAAAGUUGAUCGUGUUUCUGACGUCGUAUAUCGACGUCAUAAACACCAAAGUUGACCGUGUUUAUGAUCGUGUUUAUGACGUCGAAUAUCGACGUC